ACGAACGCUGGCGGCGUGCUUAACACAUGCAAGUCGAACGGAAAGGCCCUGCUUUUGUGGGGUGCUCGAGUGGCGAACGGGUGAGUAACACGUGAGUAACCUGCCCUUGACUUUGGGAUAACUUCAGGAAACUGGGGCUAAUACCGGAUAGGAGCUCCUGCUGCAUGGUGGGGGUUGGAAAGUUUCGGCGGUUGGGGAUGGAAUCGCGGCUUAUCAGCUUGUUGGUGGGGUAGUGGCUUACCAAGGCUUUGACGGGUAGCCGGCCUGAGAGGGUGACCGGCCACAUUGGGACUGAGAUACGGCCCAGACUCCUACGGGAGGCAGCAGUGGGGAAUAUUGCACAAUGGGCGGAAGCCUGAUGCAGCAACGCCGCGUGCGGGAUGACGGCCUUCGGGUUGUAAACCGCUUUCGCCUGUGACGAAGCGUGAGUGACGGUAAUGGGUAAAGAAGCACCGGCUAACUACGUG
rnacentral:rRNA from 1 species